rnacentral:siRNA from 1 species
CACAAUACUGGACAUAACGGAG